GGAGCGCGAUGGCCCGCCCACCUCUACGUGGUGCGCUCUAGAAACACCAGUUUGGUGGCUGAGAGGCGGGC
rnacentral:ribozyme from 1 species